AUUGAACGCUGGCGGCAGGCCUAACACAUGCAAGUCGAACGAGUGGCGGACGGGUGAGUAAUGUCUGGGAAACUGCCCGAUGGAGGGGGAUAACUACUGGAAACGGUAGCUAAUACCGCAUACCAUCGGAUGUGCCCAGAUGGGAUUAGCUAGUAGGUGGGGUAAAGGCUCACCUAGGCGACGAUCCCUAGCUGGUCUGAGAGGAUGACGAGACACACUGGAACUGAGACACGGUCCAGACUCCUACGGGAGGAAGAAGAGGGGAAGAUUGCACAAGGGGCGCAAGCCGGAUGCAGCCAUGCCGCGUGUAUGAAGAGGGCCUUCGGGUUGUAAAGUACUUUCAGCGGGGAGGCGUUACCCGCAGAAGAAGCACCGGCUAACUCCGUGCCAGCCGCCGCGGUAAUAC
rnacentral:rRNA from 1 species